rnacentral:lncRNA from 1 species
AAAAGGCCAAUAUGCAAUAGUCAACUCUGUAACUCCUGUCAGAAGCAUGGCUGGAAGAAAUAGAAGCAGCUCAAGGAAUUCUUUCUUCUGAGAGGAGAAUGGAGAGUAGCAAAGAGACUACGGCUCCACAGUGAGUGGAAACCACCUCUCCAAAGAAAGAGUUAAAGAGAGGUUGGACAGCCUCUAACCAGUGGUCCUUCAGCUAAUUUCCUCCGGUGGCAAGCAUCCAGAGAAAAAUAUCAAAUUCCUAUUUAUUGACUGCCUAUAUCCAUUGUCUGACUAAGAACUACUGCUGUAUCCAGAAUUGUGAAA